UACAACAAAAAACAGUUCAUUGCGCACACACCGCCUGACCACAUGGUUUUAACGUCAAGACAACCUCUGGCCUCAUUGACUCACACAGGUACCUCAGGGGAUUGUAAUUGAGCCUUAAGAACGGAUGGUUUUUGCUUUUUUGCCAUUAGAGAAACAGCAGCGAACGCUUAUGCAAAGAGUUUAGGCUAUUUUUCGAUAAUCAUCAGUGCUGUUGAAACUGGACCGUUACCUCUUCUCCAAUCAAGAUUGAUCAACUGAUUAAGGGUUAAAACACCUCCAUGUCUGCUUGCUAUCAGCAGUCGGAGCAUAACUGACAAAAGUCAAUGUGACGUGCARCGRGGUGAAGCUCAGAGAGGAAGUUUUAAUUCAAAGAUUUCUUGAGAAGACGGUACUCGAGACRUAUCAUGGCAGAGCAAAAUGGAUUCUURACAUUGGUGGUGCUUGUCCWUUGCUUGGUGUUUAUUGGUGGAUCGAAUGGAGUACCCUCUAAACCAGCAAACCUGAACAUUACCGGACAGAUACCAAGUGCAGACCAUGGUAUCAUAGCGACUUUAA